rnacentral:rRNA from 1 species
UCAAUCUCGUGUGGCUAUAAUUACCACCGGUCCCUCUAAGAAGAUUUUCAUUGUACGCCGAUAGUUGAAGACCGCACGCGCGGGCGAACGUGCGCNNNCGUGCGCGCCGCGUUAACGACACGCGCGCCACCCGGCCGCGGACCCUCGUGAUAUCGGUAGCACGUCUAUUUAAUAGGCUAGAGUUACGUUCGUUAC